UUCCAUUUUAGAACACUGCAUGAUUAUCUAAUCAAAAUUUUAAAAAAAUAUGCAAGUCACACACCGGACAAAAGCGCAGCGAUGCAUUCUCGGAGAAGUCACACACCAGACGCGUCCACGUGUCAAAACAAACAACACAUGCUGUUAAUGAUUUCCGCCUCUAGAAGCUGCUCUCGUACUAUAUAAUGGCAGCGGACUCUUCAACGGACGCAACCCAGAAAACUAUCGGCAUUGAUUUUUGCCGAUAACCGAUAGUUCUGCCAAUCAACUAUCGGUGCCGAUUUAUCGGCAAAACCGAUUAAUCGGUCGACCUCUAGUGUGUAUAUAUAUAUGUGUGUGUGUGUUAUGUGGCAGCGAUGGUGGUUCCUCCUCCGAGCCGCAGCAGUAUCUGCUGGCAGUCCUGCAGGGAUCUGCGGUCUCCGACUCGCUCCAGUGUGCGUUUGGCCUCGGCCAGCAGUCGAGCUCUGUGACCUGGCGGCGUCAGCAGCGGCAGCGGCAGGUGACGACACGCUAGCAGAAUAGCAUGAGCCCUCUCACGCUCGCCCGGAGCGCAGUCACCAUCUGCAACACAAACACAGUGUCAGCGCAACAUACUCAACACGCAGCAGCAGCUGCUAUAGAGAGAGUGUGUGUGUGUGUUUACCUGUGCUGUAGUUGUGUGUUCGGUGUCGCAGCAGCUGGUGUGUGCGUGUUGGACUGGCUCCUGCCAUCAGUCGGACCGUCGUCUCAUGUAGGAACAGCUAAAAAUCAUACACACACAGUUAAUAGCAUGCAGAGGUCAAGUGCAGAGUAGGGUCAAAGGUCACCUUGUGCUGGGCCUGUCUGUGGGCCUGUCCUAGUUUCCGCAGAGAGCUCAGGUCCCUCUGAAAUCCAGCCAGCUUGGAUCCAGGGGCGGGGCCUGGCUCCCCGUUAGACCCGCCUCCACGCUGCCAUAGGCUGGUCCUCAGAGUCAGGAGGAGGUCACACACCAGAAGCUCCACCCCCUGAGAGAGUCAGAGAAGAUGAUUGGACAAAGAGAAACGCCAGUGUGUUUAAGUGCAGUGUA
rnacentral:lncRNA from 1 species